GCCUGGCAGGCCACAGUCCAUGGAGUUGCAGCGUUGGACAUGACUUAGCAACUCAACAACAACAACAACAAAGGCUGUGUGAGAGAAUCUGCUCCCUUCCUGCCUCCUGGUUUCUGAGGAUUUGCUGGUCAUAUAUAGUCUUCCUGGGCUUAGGCAUGCUUCAUCCUGAAUUCUGCCUUCAUAGUCACAUAGCUGUCUCCCUGUGUGCCUAUUUGUCUCUGUAUCCACAUUUCUCCUCUUUCAUGAGGGCACAGUCAUGUUGGAGUAGGGCCCCACCUCAUGACCUCACCUUAACGUGAUCAUCUGCAGACUCUUGUUUCCAAAUAAGGUUACAUUCACAGGUAUUGGAGGUUAGGACCUCAACAUCUUUGGGAGGAAACCAUUCAGCUCAUAACACUUGGAUUGACUGGAGAUGGAAAAAUCCAUUUUAUUCUCCUGCACCGAACUUGGAUGCAGAAGUUUCGGGGCUGUGCAUGAACGUUGCCUGUUGCUCAGCAUCACAACUCACCAGUGCAAAGGCUGCUCUUUUCCACCUGUCUUGUAUUUGUAUUCUCCUAUAUAAAAUUGCUUAUUGCUUUGUUACUAUCAGUGUAACUUUCUCCAAGGGAAUGACUGUGCAUGGUUUUGGAAAAGAUGAAUGAAAUGAAAUUUUCCAUUUCAAGUAUGAGAAAUUGAUCCAAACCAUACAGUACUUCAGCAAGUAAGGAUUGCUUUUAGAGUCUUGCUAGCUGUUCUUUCACUCACAAUUCCCCAUCUCCAUCCCAUGCAGGCAUUCACAUAAUUCUAAAGCACACACAUGCAUCUGCAUGCAGACAGACAGACAGACACAAACACACAAAGUAUGAUUUCCCAAAAGAGGACCUUGCUUUGGCCUGAAACAAGGCUACCCAAACAAGGUAUUGGUUUUAAUUCCUCUGAUAUAAAAGAUUUCUUUUAUCUUCUUUUUUUUGUUGUUGUCUGUUUGGUUUUGUGUGUACGUGUGCACGUGUGUUUUAUUAGCCUCCACUGGUAGAUGAUCGUCUCUUAGAUGCCCAACCAGCUGUCUGCCGGCAGGAGAGGAAAAAGAUAAACCUCUACUGGUUUCCCCCAGAGAAAACCUGCUUUAUCUCACGGAGCCGAGCUGCCAGGUGGGGUUGAGUAAACUCUGGGGUUACGAUACAGUUGAGGCACAAAGUUCACCACCAACGUAAACCAGCCAGCCCAGUUCUGCUUUUUAAUGUGUUCUAAACUGACAGAGCUGAGCCAUGUAAACAAGGGUGAAGCAAUAGCAUCAGGAAAAAAAGGGGCCGAGAUCUAUUGGUGACUAAUGGGUGAAUGGCUACUUUAGCAUCCUUAUGCUUGGAAUACCAUUUUGUUAACUUGCCCACAAAACUUACUUGGAAAUUAAGGCUGAGAGAGGAGAAGGUAUGUGCAAAUUUUAAGAGAGAAAUUGUCUGUUGCCUGCUGGGCUUACAGAGUUAGAAGGACUUUAUUAUUAGAGCAACCGCUUCAACUGUCUUGCCUUCUUAGGCGAGGAAACGGACACUCGGGUAAAUGAAAUGCAUGGGGCUGUAUGCUUUAACGCAGAGUUUUGGGACCUUGGGUCGAUGUCUCUAACUUUGUAAAUGGAGAUACUAAUAGGUGAACACUGCAGGUGAUGGUUGUUAUGGGGCUCUAAUGAGAGAGCAUGGUCUGCAGUCCUAAUGUGUCACCUUGUGAGUUACCUUUCCUCCUUAGACCAGGAUUACUCAGCUAAUUAGUCCCAGAAGAGGGACUUGACAUCAUUUCUUAGCUGGAUGUUUUACCUUUGCCCGUGUUACCUCAGCUAAGAAGCACAUGAUUUUGGAAAUCCCCAAAAGAAUGAGCUCUACGGUUAAAUGAAAAGAGCUCUUUCCAAAUAGUUGUUUCCAGCGGCUCCACCAGCAACUUUCGCCAGAGCUGUUAAUAAUUAACCAAGGGGAGUGACUGGAUGGAAACUUAUCCAGGCCCCUCCAAUGUGUUCCUUGCCAGAAACGGUGUGAGAGGCAGCCAAAAGAAGGAUAAGAGGAGAAAGCCAGGGGCCUGUGAAAACACAUAUGCGUGAUCGAACAUCCUGGCUCUUGGACAGAUGGAGCCGUGAGACACAGAAGCACUUUCUCCAUUUGUGUGUUUACAGGUUCAGGGCCUCAUUUAGGAUCCAUAUUCAGAAGAGUGGACCAAGGCUCUCGGCUUUCUCAGUGGUGUUUACUUACUCGAUAGAUAAAAUUGAUUAGUGACUUUCUGCAGCCUUAUCUGAAUCCCAGUCACUGUUUUGAUGCUGUGACCUUAGUAAGGGAUCACGUACAGUGGGUUUUGGAAAGAGAAUGGGGAUGAAUGGAGGGGGAGGAAGAGAAGGGGUGUGUUGGAGCAUCAAGCACUGCUGUCCAUGGUCUGGUGCUUGGCGAUGCUGCAUCAAGACCGGAGGUCAAAGAAUGCUUAAGUUAGAUUCAAAAAUAGAAGAAGAACCGAGGGUCCCUAUCUUCUCUCUAAAACACCAGUGAAGAAAUUGUUUGUUAAGUGCCAGUGGUGGGCUGCCAGGUGAAGCCUGUGUCCCCAGCUCUGUUCACUUUCACCAUUUAGUUCCACUGAGCAGUUGCUAACGUGGCUAUGUCACUGGAAGCUGUCCUUUUCUCAGGAAUGAUCAGAAUCUUGUCCAACAAUGUUGUCAAAGUAAGGCCAGAUCAUUUUCCCACCCAGUUUCAGAAUGAGAGGUCAACAUGCUCCAGGUGAUGUGAAUUGAUAGCCACCCCAUAUCAAACACUCAGAGGCUGUCAUGGCCACCACCAUGCAACAAUCCCUCAAUGGCUCCUUGUUGAACAAAUAAGUGACAGAAGAGGCUAAUGAUGAAGGCCGUUGCCCUUGAUUUAGAUGACUCACACCAACCUUGACUUGUUGGGCAACUAUAGUUUUAUUGAUGGUAACUUGCUGAAUUCCACCUUUUAGAUCCAGACACUAAAGAAAACAAAGCACCAUCACUAAAAAAGCAAAUGAGAUGAAUGAUUUCAUUUGAAUUUUUCAAAUGUUCAGCUCUCAAGUUAACAGAGGUUUAAGUGGGACUCCUCUCUUGUCGAAAAUAAAGAUAUUAAUAUCUCUUCACUGUAGGGUUGCUAUGAGGAUUAAUAAGUCAAUACAUGCUUAGGACACUGCCUGUCAACAGUGAGGGCUCAGUAAGUAUUAGGUUUUAUAUUACCAUGUUUGAGCUUGCUUUUGAAAUAGUUUUUCUUUUCUGUUUAUAAUUUUUCACAUGCACACCUUAUAUAGUUUUGCAUAAAUACAUCUGUUAUUUCACACAUAUAUUUAUCUGUUACUUAGAGAAGCCUUGUUUCUUUCUUUUUUUAUUGAAAUACAGUUGAUUCACAAAGUUGUGUUCAUUUCAGGUCUACAACAAAAUGAUUCAGUUAUAUAUAACUGAAUCAUUAUAUAAUUUUUCAAAUUGUUUUCCUUACAGGCUAUUACAAAAUAUUGAGUAUAGUUACUUUUGUUUUAUUCCUGAUGUUUAGCCUCAUCUUCCCUCUCUUUUCUCCUCUGCAUCCCCUCUGCACCCCUCUCUGGCAUGGAACUAUUGUUAGUGACCUGAUGCAUGCUUCCACGUUUUCCCCCUCGCUCAUAUGAUCACAUAUAUACAUAUUACACUUACACAUGUUUAUGGGGGUGAUCUAUUUAUUUGUUUUAUGACCACUGAAUAAUGCACAUUUUCUUUCUCUUGCUAGUUUUUAAUAUUUCUUUGGCUGCUUUGAGUCUUAGUUGUGGCACACGGGAUCUUUGAUCUUUGUUGUGGCAUGUGGGAUCUAGAUCCCCGACCAGAGAUUGAAACCAGCCCCCUGCAUUGAGAGUGCAGAUUCUUAGCCACUGGACCACCCUGUUAUUAUUAUUUUUCUCAUUUAUGAUGUAUGUAUAGAAAUCCCUCCAAAGUGACUAUUCUGUUGUAACUCUUUUUUUUGGAGUGGAUAUGUAAUAACUCAUGGUAUGGAUGAGCUGUAAUCUAUUUAGAUGUUCUCACUGCUGAACAUUUACUGGGAUCCCUGUCCCCCUCUCCUUUUCUUGCUAUGAAUAGUAUGUGUCCUCUUACAUUCGCCCCUGUGCUCGGAUGAUCUUGGAGGUGUCAAGAGGAGAUUGCAAUGUUGAAUGGCACAUAUAGGUGAUGGAGCGAAGCUUCAGAGAAAUGCCAGCGCAAGGGAAGAUGGAUAAGAAUGGCGGCAGUGAAGAUCUAUGUGAAGAAUGUAGGAACUCCAGGGAUUACAGUUUGUCUUUAUUUAAAAACUGUCUUAGUGUGAAUGACUGAAUUCAAUAAAACUAUGAGCAUCUAAGCAAACUCUGGGAGAUGGUGAAGGGCAGAGGAACCUGGCAUGCUGGCAGUCCAUGGAGUCACAAAGAAUCGAGCACGACAGUGAUUAAACAACAAGCAUCUAAAGAGAAGGGAUGUCUCAUUGAUUCAGUUCUUUCUGGUUUAAUUCAUGGAAAUAAAAGUGGAGGAACUGGUUA